UCUGUAGGCGGUUUUGUAAGUUGGGUGUGAAAGCUCCGGGCUUAACCCGGAGAGGUCAUUCAAUGCUGCAGAACUUGAGGACAUCAGAGGAGCGUGGAAUUUCCGGUGUAGCGGUAAAAUGCGCAGAUAUCGGAAGGAACACCAAUGGCGAAGGCAGCGCUCUGGGGUGGGCCUGACGCUAAGAGACGAAAGCUAGGGGAGCGAACA
rnacentral:rRNA from 1 species